GAUGACCAUGUGACCAACAUAGAACCUGAAUUAGAGCAUUCAUUACGCACGUGACUUGACGGGUGAAUGGGCACCAUGGGAACUACGCUCCGCUCGUUAGAGACAAAGAUUAUGUGCGCACCUAGACACGGGAAGUUAUUUCUAUUUAGAUUGAUUUCAACUAGCUACUUGCUUUUUCUUUCAAAACAUCACACAAAAUAAGACAGCUAAAGGAACCUCUUAUUUAUCUUUAUUUAAGUUAUAUAUUCAUAGGUAAUUUUAUUGUAGUUCUGUUACAAGUACCGGGAGUUGCCCCAAUAGUCCCAAUCUAUAGUUGCGCGCUACGUGCCAAAUGAAGUAUUAAUUCAAUUCCGUUACGUAAAUCACACCCGUGAUGUCCGCUGAGGUUCACUGGACCAUGCUGGCAAAACAGGAAAACUCAUAGUCAAUGGUUAUCAUAAAUAGAGGCAUACUUCAUAUCAGUAUCAAAUCUUCUGAGGCUGCAAGAUCACAACAGGACGGUAUACGAGAAAACACUCUGAAGUUGAAAUGGAACAUCCUGAUAUGCGUGCACAAGUUUGCGAAAUCCCUCACGAUGCACUGAAAACCUGCCCUUAUUGCACAGCCGCUGACAAGCGACCGAUGUCUAUCCUGGAACUUGUGGUAGUGUUUGACGAGGAGAAAGAAGAAAAAGAAGGAGGUAGUGAUGAAGAGAUCACUUGGACAUGCGAAGGGUAGCGGUGUCAUCAUUCGGCAUCAAAAGAGCUAGCGGAUAAAUCAUAUAUUAUACGGACUAACGAAAGUACAAUUAUAAAGACAAAAAAGAACUGCAAUGAUGAUAUCUCCUAAUGUGACUUUAGCAAGCCGUAUCCCUCCUCUAAAAAACAACAAAACAACAAAAAUCAAGGGGAAAGAAACGCGAAAUUAAGCAGUGAAACAGGAAGGUAACGUCGAAACUGAAUUGUACAGAAAGACAAGGACAGCGGAAAGGUCCACGAAAGUGAAGGGAUAAUUAUUUUAUAUAAUACAGUAUUUAUAACGACGACAGAAGAAAACACUAAUUUAUUUUUAAUACAAAACUUAAACAGUUCGGCUGCGGUUUUCAAACAACAAUGUAAAGUACGUUAGCAAUAAAUAUCUACUAAAUUGG